GAUGAACGCUGGCGGCGUGCCUAAUACAUGCAAGUCGAGCGAACAGACGAGGAGCUUGCUCCUCUUACGUUAGCGGCGGACGGGUGAGUAACACGUGGAUAACCUACCUAUAAGACUGGGAUAACUUCGGGAAACCGGAGCUAAUACCGGAUAACAUGGUGAACCGCAUGGUUCAACAGUGAAAGACGGUCUUGCUGUCACUAAUAGAUGUAUCCUCGCCGCAUUAGCUAGUUGGUAAGGUAACGGCUUACCAAGGCAACGAUGCGUAGCCGACCUGAGAGGGUGAUCGGCCACACUGGAACUGAGACACGGUCCAGACUCCUACGGGAGGCAGCAGUAGGGAAUAUUCCGCAAUGGGCGAAAGCCUGACGCAGCAACGCCGCGUGAGUGAAGAAGGUCUUCGGAUCGUAAAACUCUGUUAGUAGGGAAGAACAAAAGUGUAAGUAAAUAUGCACGUCUUGACGGUACCUAAACAGAAAGCCACGGCUAACUACGUG
rnacentral:rRNA from 1 species